rnacentral:rRNA from 1 species
GAUGAACGCUGGCGGCGUGCCUAAUAAAUGCAAGUCGAGCGAACGGACGAGAAGCUUGCUUCUCUGAUGUUAGCGGCGGACGGGUGAGUAACACGUGGAUAACCUACCUUUAAGACUGGGAUAACUUCGGGAAACCGGAUCUAAUACCGGAUAAUAUUUUGAACCGCAUGGUUCAAAAGUGAAAGACGGUCUUGCUGUCACUUAUAGAUGGAUCCGCGCUGCAUUAGCUAGUUGGUAAGGUAACGGCUUACCAAGGCAACGAUGCAUAGCCGACCUGAGAGGGUGGUCGGCCACACUGGAACUGAGACAGGGUACAGACUCCUACGGGAGGCAGCAGUAGGGAAUCUUACGCAAUGGGCGAAAGCCUGACGGAGCAACGCCGCGUGAGUGAUGAAGGUCUUCGGAUCGGAAAACGAUGUUAUUAGGGAAGAACAUAUGUGUAAGUAACUGUGAAGAUAUUGACGGUACCGAGUCAGAAAGCCACGGCUAACUACGUG